GAUGAAGAACGCAGCGAAAUGCGAUAAGUAAUGUGAAUUGCAGAAUUCAGUGAAUCAUCGAAUCUUUGAACGCACAUUGCGCCCGCCAGUAUUCUGGCGGGCAUGCCUGUCCGAGCGUCAUUUCAACCCUCGAACCCCUCCGGGGGGUCGGCGUUGUGGACCUCGGGAGCCCCUAAGACGGGAUCCCGGCCCCGAAAUACAGUGGCGGUCUCGCCGCAGCCUCUCCUGCGCAGUAGUUUGCACAACUCGCACCGGGAGCGCGGCGCGUCCACGUCCGUAAAACACCCAACUUCUGAAAUGUUGACCUCGGAUCAGGUAGGAAUACCCGCUGAACUUAAGCAUAUCAAUAAGCGGAGGA
rnacentral:misc_RNA from 1 species